AGAAGUGUAAGCUAAUUAAAGCUAUUGGGCCCAUACCCCAAAAAUAAGGGCUAACCCCCUUCACUCCUACCA